rnacentral:rRNA from 1 species
UACGGAGGGAGCUAGCGUUAUUCGGAAUUACUGGGCGUAAAGCGCACGUAGGCGGCUUUGUAAGUUAGAGGUGAAAGCCUGGAGCUCAACUCCAGAAUUGCCUUUAAGACUGCAUCGCUUGAAUCCAGGAGAGGUGAGUGGAAUUCCGAGUGUAGAGGUGAAAUUCGUAGAUAUUCGGAAGAACACCAGUGGCGAAGGCGGCUCACUGGAGCUGGUAUUGACGCUGAGGCGGCGAAAAGCUAGGGGAGCAAACGGG